rnacentral:rRNA from 1 species
GACGAACGCUGGCGGCGUGCUUAACACAUGCAAGUCGAACGGGCCUUGUCCCCUUUUUUUUUGGGGGUGGGGUUAGUGGCGAACGGGUGAGUAACACGUGAGUAACCUGCCCCUCACUUCUGGAUAACCGCUUGAAAGGGUGGCUAAUACGGGGUGUUCUGGCCUGCGCGCAUGGGUGGGUUGGGUAAGAUUCGACCGGUGUUGGUGGCUAUGGUGGGGGAUGGGCUCGCGGCCUAUCAGCGUGUGGGCGGGGGGAUGGCCUGCCAAGGACUUGACGGGUAGCCGGCCUGGGAGGGGGGGCGGUCACGGUGGGAGUGGAAGACGGCCCAGACUCGUACGGGGGCCCGCAGUGGAGACUAUUGCGCAGUGGGCGCGGGCCUGAUGCGGCGACGCGGCGUGGGGGAUGGAGGCCUUGGGGUGGGAAACCUCUUUGCCCAGGGGUGAAGGUCCUGCUCUUUGUGGUGGGAUUAAGGGUGGAUCGGUUAAAGAAGCGCCGGCUAACUCCGUG